rnacentral:rRNA from 1 species
GAUGAACGCUGGCGGCGUGCCUAAUACAUGCAAGUCGAGCGAACGGACGAGAAGCUUGCUUCUCUGAUGUUAGCGGCGGACGGGUGAGUAACACGUGGAUAACCUACCUAUAAGACUGGGAUAACUUCGGGAAACCGUAGCUAAUACCGGAUAAUAUUUUGAACCGCAUGGUUCAAAAGUGAAAGACGGUCUUGCUGUCACUUAUAGAUGGAUCCGCGCUGCAUUAGCUAGUUGGUAAGGUAACGGCUUACCAAGGCAACGAUGCAUAGCCGACCUGAGAGGGUGAUCGGCCACACUAAAACUGAGACACGGUCCAGACUCCUACGGGAGGCAGCAGUAGGGAAUCUUCCGCAAUAGGCGAAAUCCUGACAGAGCAACGCCGAGUGAGUGAUGAAGGUCUUCGGAUCGUAAAACUCUGUUAUUAGGGAAGAACAUAUGUGUAAGUAACUGUGCACAUCUUGACGGUACCUAAUCAGAAAGCCACGGCUAACUACGUG